rnacentral:piRNA from 1 species
UUGGAAGUGAUUAAUAGCUUGGUGGUCCAC